rnacentral:rRNA from 1 species
UCAUCUCCGGGGGUAGAGCACUGUUUCGGCAAGGGGGUCAUCCCGACUUACCAACCCGAUGCAAACUGCGAAUACCGGAGAAUGUUAUCACGGGAGACACACGGCGGGUGCUAACGUCCGUCGUGAAGAGGGAAACAACCCAGACCGCCAGCUAAGGUCCCAAAGUCAUGGUUAAGUGGGAAACGAUGUGGGAAGGCCCAGACAGCCAGGAUGUUGGCUUAGAAGCAGCCAUCAUUUAAAGAAAGCGUAAUAGCUCACUGGUCGAGUCGGCCUGCGCGGAAGAUGUAACGGGGCUAAACCAUGCACCGAAGCUGCGGCAGCGACACUAUGUGUUGUUGGGUAGGGGAGCGUUCUGUAAGCCUGUGAAGGUGUGCUGUGAGGCAUGCUGGAGGUAUCAGAAGUGCGAAUGCUGACAUAAGUAACGAUAAAGCGGGUGAAAAGCCCGCUCGCCGGAAGACCAAGGGUUCCUGUCCAACGUUAAUCGGGGCAGGGUGAGUCGACCCCUAAGGCGAGGCCGAAAGGCGUAGUCGAUGGGAAACAGGUUAAUAUUCCUGUACUUGGUGUUACUGCGAAGGGGGGACGGAGAAGGCUAUGUUGGCCGGGCGACGGUUGUCCCGGUUUAAGCGUGUAGGCUGGUUUUCCAGGCAAAUCCGGAAAAUCAAGGCUGAGGCGUGAUGACGAGGCACUACGGUGCUGAAGCAACAAAUGCCCUGCUUCCAGGAAAAGCCUCUAAGCAUCAGGUAACAUCAAAUCGUACCCCAAACCGACACAGGUGGUCAGGUAGAGAAUACCAAGGCGCUUGAGAGAACUCGGGUGAAGGAACUAGGCAAAAUGGUGCCGUAACUUCGGGAGAAGG